CCCAGUAAACGGCGGCCGUAACUAUAACGGUCCUAAGGUAGCGAAAUUCCUUGUCAGGUAAGUUCUGACCCGCACGAAAGGCGUAACGAUUUGGGCGCUGUCUCAGCUGUAGACUCGGUGAAGUCUUAGUACCUGUGAAGAUGCAGGUUACCCGCGACUAGACGGAAAGACCCCAUGGAGCUUCACUGCAGGUUGAUAUUGGGAUUUGAUGCAGCAUGUACAGGAUAGGUAGGAGGCAAAGAGAUGGAUACGCCAGUAUUCAAGGAGCCGCUGUUGGGAUACUACCCCUGUUGUAUUGGAUUUCUAACCGGACGACGUAGAGCCGUUGACGGGACAGUGUCAGUCGGGCAGUUUGACUGGGGCGGUCGCCUCCCAAAGAGUAACGGAGGCGCCCAAAGAUACCCUCAGCUUGGAUGGAAACCAAGCGCAGAGUGCAAAGGCAAAAGGGUGUUUGACUGCGAGACCUACAAGUCGAGCAGGGACGAAAGUCGGGCUUAGUGAUCCGGCGGUGCUGAAUGGAAAGGCCGUCGCUCAACGGAUAAAAGCUACCCUGGGGAUAACAGGCUGAUCUCCCCCAAGAGUUCACAUCGACGGGGAGGUUUGGCACCUCGAUGUCGGCUCAUCGCAUCCUGGAGCUGAAGUCGGUUCCAAGGGUUGGGCUGUUCGCCCAUUAAAGCGGUACGCGAGCUGGGUUCAGAACGUCGUGAGACAGUUCGGUCCCUAUCUGUCGUGGGCGCAGGAAAUUUGAGAAGAGCUGUCCUCAGUACGAGAGGACCGGGAUGGACGCAUCAAUGGUGGACCAGUUGUCACGCCAGUGGCAUAGCUGGGUAGCUAAAUGCGGAAGGGAUAAACGCUGAAGGCAUCUAAGUGUGAAACCCACUUCAAGAUGAGAUUUCCCAUUGCGCAAGCAAGUAAGACCCCUUAAAGACGAUAAGGUAGAUAGGUCAGGAGUGUAAGCAUGGUGACAUGUUAAGCGGACUGAUACUAAUAGGUCGAGGGCUUGACCGA
rnacentral:rRNA from 1 species